rnacentral:rRNA from 1 species
UACGAAGGGGGCGAGCGUUGCUCGGAAUCACUGGGCGUAAAGCGCACGUAGGCGGUUCGUUAAGUCAGGCGUGAAAUCCUGGAGCUCAACUCCAGAACUGCCUUUGAUACUGGCGACCUUGAGUUCGGGAGAGGUGAGUGGAACUGCGAGUGUAGAGGUGAAAUUCGUAGAUAUUCGGAGGAACACCAGUGGCGAAGGCGGCUUACUGGUCCAUUACUGGCGCUGAGGUGCGAAAGCGUGGGGAGCAAACAGG